CCUGUCCCCCUGGGUCCUGGCCACCAUCGUCCUGGCCGUGCUGGUUCUGGCUGGAGCCGUAGGGGCCGGCGUCAUCCUGUGGAGGAGAAAAUCAGCAGGCCCCAUGAAACCCGGCUACGCUCCAGCAGCCACAAAGAGCGGGGAAGAUUCUGCCUCCUGCUCGUCAUCAGGAACAGACCCCUGGAGUGUGAGAUCCCAGUGCUAGGGGCAGUGACCCUGCCCAGCUGCUGACCCCGCAGGCUGGGCGAUCUCUGUCCUCUGACGAUUCCUGCCCUGGUCAUUAGAGCAGUUUCGUCUCUCGGUGUUGGGCCUCAGGCUCUCGUAUUGCAGCGUUUGCGUCUCUGCUUCUGCAGCCGGGACUUUGCCUCAACUUCUCCCCAAAGGGCCGACUCGCUCCAACCUCUCUGUUAG